rnacentral:tRNA from 1 species
GGAAGCGUCAGCACGCCUGGUGGCGGCCGCGGCCUUCAAAGCCGUUGUGGGGCCUGUAACACAGGUCCCAGGUGGGUUCGAUUCCCAUCCGCUUCCG